UGAGUAACCAUUGGUUUGAUCAUUAUUUUAUAGAAAAUAUUAUAUCAACCACAUAAUGCAUAUGAUUUAAUGCAUGCAGGCUUGUGGAUGUGCAGGUUGUUUUUAACUAAUUACUUCAUUGAAACCACUUGUCGGAAUGCCCAACAAAGAAACGACUUUGAGGAUGUGGAUUUGGCUUCUUGAAAUGUAUAGAGGUAGAGAAAAAAACUGAAAACAUAGGCCACUUAUUCUCAUGUUGUCGUAGAGAUUGUGGUUAUUUCAAGUGGAACUACAAUUCAUCAUCGUUCGAAGAAAUACCUUUGCAAUUUGAAGGUGAGUUUAGUCGAGAAUCGAAUCUGUUUGUUCGGGUAAAUCGAAGCCGAAAGAGCCACUUGAAGAUUUGUCGUGUAUGUUGAAGACAUUUGUUCAGAUAACAAAACAAAAAGAUGUGGAAAUAUCCAGCAAUAUGAUGAUCCGCAAAGGAAAGGGAGUUAUUGAGGACAAAGGGAAAGAAAAUGGAAGAGUUCCUUGAAUUUGAUCCAACCAUGUAAUCAAAUAAAAGUCUCAUGUAAUCGUAAGUUUUAAUAGUUGCAAUAGUUUAAGGUUUCAAGACUUGGAUGCAGUGUUGUAAUAGAUUAAUGUUUUGAGACUUGGAUGCGAUAUUGUAGUAACUCUGUUAAAUGAGAAUGAGAAUGAGAAUGUAUGGUCAGCAG
rnacentral:lncRNA from 1 species